rnacentral:rRNA from 1 species
AGUCGAGCGGUAACAGGAAUUAGCUUGCUAAUUUGCUGACGAGCGGCGGACGGGUGAGUAACGCGUAGGAAUCUGCCUGGUAGUGGGGGACAACAUGUGGAAACGCAUGCUAAUACCGCAUACGCCCUACGGGGGAAAGGAGGGGAUCUUCGGACCUUUCGCUAUCAGAUGAGCCUGCGUGAGAUUAGCUAGUUGGUGGGGUAAAGGCUCACCAAGGCGACGAUCUCUAGCUGGUCUGAGAGGAUGAUCAGCCACACUGGGACUGAGACACGGCCCAGACUCCGACGGGAGGCAGCAGUGGGGAAUAUUGGACAAUGGGCGCAAGCCUGAUCCAGCCAUGCCGCGUGUGUGAAGAAGGCCUUAGGGUUGUAAAGCACUUUCAGAAGUGAGGAAGGGUGUGCCGUUAAUAC